UGUUUGCCGGCUACUCGUUUUCAGGAUUCCGGCCCUGUCCUAGAAUUCGAACGCGAUAUAUUCGUGAGGAACUGCCAAUACAGAGAGGAACACUCGAAGGCGCAAGAGAAACAGCCAAAGAAGAGUGGGGAAACAUGUCCAGAGGAGAGGAGGAAGGUGAAGGCCUUGCCAUAAAUUAUGGUUUGCUUCAGUUUUUAUCAUUUAAGAAAUCCACCACUGCUCCUAUGGUUUCCAACCUCUAAUCCCGAAGACACCUGCUGGUUAACUUCCAACCAGUUCAAAAGGUCAGCUCCUGUGGUUCCCAAGUGCCAGAAGCUUGCUAAGCUACAGAAUAGUAUGACAUUUCUAACAAUGUUGAUUUAAAAACGAUGAGAUCCAGUCUGCCUUGCCAAAGCUGUAUGCUAGUAGUCAGAACAAUGAGACAGACUGGUAUCACUUCAAGAAGGGAAUUUUGGCAUCUAAACUCUUGUGCCAGAAAGAGUAAUGCCUUUCCCUAUGAAGUUGCAGGUGACAAAGCAAAGGGUCUAACUGAGUGAAGCACUGAACACCACAGACAAAGGAUCAUGCAGCAAAGAGAAAGGCCACACUCCAGUGCAAGAAGAAUCCUCCACUUGAACCUGGAGCAGCAAGAGCAGCAACAACUCCACACAACAUCAGACAACACCUUUAAAGACUUGGUAUUAUAAAACUAUAUGUGCCAAGAUAAAUUAGAACUUUAAAUAACCAAUAAACAUCCAGCCUCCCUAUGUUAUUUGCUUGUCUGUUUAUUCUGUCUGUAUUCUGUCUUAUAUAUCAACAUAUAUAUGCAGUUAAUCAUAUUUCUAUAAUCCCUUUGUUUAUCAAUAAAU